CCUACGGGAGGCAGCAGUGAGGAAUAUUGGUCAAUGGGCGCGAGCCUGAACCAGCCAAGUAGCGUGAGGGAAGACGGCCCUACGGGUUGUAAACCUCUUUUGCAGGGGAGCAACGGGCGCCACGUGUGGCGCCACUGAGAGUACCCGGAGAAAAAGCAUCGGCUAACUCCGUGACAGCAGACGCGGUAAUACGGAGGAUGCGAGCGUUAUCCGGAUUUAAUGGGUUGAAAGGGUGCGUAGGCGGAGCGUUAAGUCAGUGGUCACAUUGAGGGGCUCAACCCCUGCCCGCCAUUGAAACUGGCGCUCUUGAGUGGAAGAGAAGUAUGCGGAAUGCGUGGUGUAGCGGUGAAAUGCAUAGAUAUCACGCAGAACCCCGAUUGCGAAGGCAGCAUGCCGGCUUCCUACUGACGCUGAAGCACGAAAGCGUGGGGAUCGAACAGGAUUAGAUACCCGUGUAGUC
rnacentral:rRNA from 1 species